AUUUAAGAGGAUUACAACCGUCAGUUUGCUGUCUAAAUUCUUCUCUGAACUGGAUGCUCAAUCUUCAAACCUGAUGAAGGUGUUCUCCAAGAAAGGCGGCGUUCAAGGAAGAAAGAUUAAGAUCAUCAUGGUACCAAUCACCCAGACCAAUGCCAUUGAUGUCAGAAGAGAGUGCAUCAUCAAAGCCCUGUGUGUGUACCUGAACGAAGAACCCGGGAACCUCGUGAAAGAAUACAUGAACACAGAUGUUGAAAGCACUGAAGCUGCAAGGAGGGAGACUACAUUUGGAAUCUUUGUCAUUCGAAAAGAAGGUGCAGAGCCAGAUGAUGGACCUGAAGAUGUCCGUAUCAUUCUGGAGGGUGUGCAAGUUCUGGACGAGUUGGAAAACGUACCACUUGCUGUGGUGAUGUUGUUCGGUCUUGUGUACGCUCUCAA